GUCCACGCCGUAAACGAUGGAUAUUUGGUGUUGGAGGUAUUGACCCCUUCAGUGCCGAAGCUAACGCGUUAAAUAUCCCGCCUGGGGAGUACGGUCGCAAGAUUAAAACUCAAAGAAAUUGACGGGAGCCCGCACAAGCUGUGGAGUAUGUGGUUCAAUUCGAUGCAACGCGAAAAACCUUACCUGGGCUCGAAAAUGUACCGGAAGUUAACAGAGAUGUUAAACGCUCGUAAGGGUCGGUAUAUAGGUGCUGCAUGGCUGUCGU
rnacentral:rRNA from 1 species